CAGGCAGCCAGCAGCCCCCGGCGAGCUGCUAAGCCCACCCCUCUCAGCUUACAGAGAGCAAUUAGCAGAUAAUCAUGCCAAAAUCGAGGACUCCAAGCGGCUCAUUUUAUCGGUGUGCUGACAUCGGUGAGCUUGUUGAAAAAAUUGCUCUCAGGUUCUUGAUCAGCUUGAAUAAGCACAAUGCCUUCCCUUGUCAGAGGGGCCCACUUCAGCUGUAAAUCUGAUGUUGAGAAAUUAGAUUUCUCUACUGCUCCCAAGCUGUCAUCAGAAGAGGAAGACAACAGCGACUCGUGGGGAGAGCUGAGCCUGGCAUUGCUGGGCUGGAUGCAGGUGUGUGUUUCCAUGGCUGGCAAAGGUGUCUGAUUGGUGGCUUUGUGAUGGACACCCCACCCUGAGACCGUGAGGACAGACUUCACCUGAACAGAGACAGUGAUUUGCAUCAUAGACAUCCAUGCCUGAGAUGAUUUCAAGGUCUCCAUCAGUCAUGUGGAGAAAAAAGUACAUGGAAAGUAGGAUUUACAUGGUAGGAAAGUGGGAUUUAUAUGGUCUGCCUAGCUC
rnacentral:lncRNA from 1 species